rnacentral:rRNA from 1 species
UACGUAUGGAGCAAGCGUUAUCCGGAUUUACUGGGUGUAAAGGGAGCGUAGGCGGUAAGGCAAGUCUGAUGUGAAAGGCCGGGGCUCAACCCUGGGACUGCAUUGGAAACUGUUUAACUGGAGUGUCGGAGAGGCAAGUGGAAUUCCUAGUGUAGCGGUGAAAUGCAUAGAUAUCACGCAGAACCCCGAUUGCGAAGGCAGCAUACCGGUGCACAACUGACGCUCAGGCACGAAAGCGUGGGUAUCGAACAGG